UGCGAGCGUGACGGCGCGAGCAGGUGCGAAAGCAGGUCAUAGUGAUCCGGUGGUUCUGAAUGGAAGGGCCAUCGCUCAACGGAUAAAAGGUACUCCGGGGAUAACAGGCUGAUACCGCCCAAGAGUUCAUAUCGACGGCGGUGUUUGGCACCUCGAUGUCGGCUCAUCACAUCCUGGGGCUGAAGUAGGUCCCAAGGGUAUGGCUGUUCGCCAUUUAAAGUGGUACGCGAGCUGGGUUUAGAACGUCGUGAGACAGUUCGGUCCCUAUCUGCCGUGGGCGCUGGAGAACUGAGGGGGGCUGCUCCUAGUACGAGAGGACCGGAGUGGACGCAUCACUGGUGUUCGGGUUGUCAUGCCAAUGGCACUGCCCGGUAGCUAAAUGCGGAAGAGAUAAGUGCUGAAAGCAUCUAAGCACGAAACUUGCCCCGAGAUGAGUUCUCCCUGACCCUUUAAGGGUCCUGAAGGAACGUUGAAGACGACGACGUUGAUAGGCCGGGUGUGUAAGCGCAGCGAUGCGUUGAGCUAACCGGUACUAAUGAACCGUGAGGCUUAACCUUACAACGCCGAAG
rnacentral:rRNA from 2 species